GAUCAAGGCCCCCCCCGCCUGGGCUUUCCUAACUGUUUAUUUAAGUGUGUAGCCGUAACUUUUUGCUCCGGUUAGCAUUUGUUGGGUCCAACCCAGCUAUAGUCUAGGAAAUGGUUUCUAAUUUUCCUGCUGCCUCAUCAGCAGAAUUGACAGCUAAAUUCCAAUUGCUGAGGCUUUAUUACUUGUGAAGAUGUGAGAGGCAGAAAAGAGCACAGCUGGGUCCUGCAUCCCAGGUGGAGAUUUUAGGACUGGCAGAUAGAGGCAACUUUUGACUGUUAACUGAGGACAAUUUAAUCUGGAGGCAAUUGCUGGGAGAUGAAAUUUGAAACCCCCUGAUGUUGAUUUCUGUGAAUAACUGCCCUUUCAGGAGUAUACCUCAGGGUUCAGCACUUCCUCAGGUACCUGCAGCCAAUCCACUCUUGGAUAGCCAGGGGAGAAAGAACGUGGGAGUUUGCGGCUGCUCUGGGGCACAGACAUUGUUGGCAUGCAGAGCACCUCAGCUUCUUCCCCAGCUGUUGGCCACCUUGAUUUAAAGGGAGAGAAAGGAGAGGUUUGGAUUGGGAGCAGCGGAUGUUGAGGCCAACGUUCGGGAAGACGCUGUUCCAACACUUGUACGUCUCUGUGGGGACUGCACGUGUCAGUGCUAAAAGCUUCCAGACCCACGCAGUGAGAUUCUGAACGUUCAAAAGACUUUGGCUCAAAUUUAAUAAUUCAUUGUCUUGUAAAACCAGGAGUAAGUCCUGAAAAACUGAAAUCUACAUAAGAGAAACUUAGCUGUCCAUAUUUUCCUCUGUUCCUGUUGGUGCCUGCUACUUUCUCUGAUCUCUUCUUCAGCUAUCUUCACAUAACUGAUGAUUUCCCUGCCCUCUCCAGUGUUUUCUAAAAAGAAAAACCUAAAAAGCCAACACAUUUUCUGUCUGGUGUGCCUCUUGGAACACUGCAAACCGUUCAAAAUCUCCUAGAACAGUACAUCUAUCAUCUGUUGAGAACUUAUUGUUUUCCAGGGAUUGUGCUGGUUCUUUACGUACAUUUUUUCUAAAAGGUUAUCACCACCUUUGACCUGAGACAGUGGAGGCUUGGGCUGCUUAAACAGUGUCCAAAGUCACAAAUUGGUGGUGGCUUUUCUGGUAUCAGACUCUAUAUCUGACUGACUCUAAAACUUAUUUUUCGUUCCACGUUGCUUUUCUCCCUCUUCUCUAAAU
ensembl:lncRNA